rnacentral:RNase_P_RNA from 1 species
GAGGAAAGUCUGGGCUCUGUAAAGAAUAUAGCUAUAUAACUUAUAGUGUAGGCGACUACGAGGAUAGUGCCACAGAAAUAAACCUGCUUAUUUUAUUAAGUAAGGGUGCAAUGGUAUAUUAAAAGUGUACCAGAAAUAUUUUUAAGAUAUUUGCUAGGUAAACCCCGUAUUAGAGCAAGGUAAUUAGUCUAUAUGACUGAUGUUUAAAUAUACUGCGAGAAAGUAAAUAUUGGCGUAUUUCUUAAGAUAAAUAAUUACCCUUUUUGUGCUUUUAGGCACAACUAAGAACAAAACCCGGCUUAU